rnacentral:rRNA from 1 species
GGUGGGUUAAAAGCACUUUGAAAAGAGGGUUAAACAGCACGUGAAAUUGUUAAAAGGGAAGCGCUUGUGACCAGACUUGCGUCCGGUGAAUCACCCAGCUCUCGCGGCUGGGGCACUUCGCCGGCUCAGGCCAGCAUCAGCUCGCUGUCGGGGACAAAAGCUUCAGGAACGUAGCUCUCUUCGGGGAGUGUUAUAGCCUGUUGCAUAAUACCCUUCGGCGGGCUGAGGUACGCGCUCCGCAAGGAUGCUGGCAUAAUGGUCAUCAGCGACCCGUCUUGAAACACGGACCAAGA